GAUGAACGCUGGCGGCGUGCCUAAUACAUGCAAGUCGAGCGAACAGACGAGGAGCUUGCUCCUCUGACGUUAGCGGCGGACGGGUGAGUAACACGUGGAUAACCUACCUAUAAGACUGGGAUAACUUCGGGAAACCGGAGCUAAUACCGGAUAAUAUAUUGAACCGCAUGGUUCAAUAGUGAAAGACGGUUUUGCUGUCACUUAUAGAUGGAUCCGCGCCGCAUUAGCUAGUUGGUAAGGUAACGGCUUACCAAGGCAACGAUGCGUAGCCGACCUGAGAGGGUGUUCGGCCACACUGGAACUGAGACACGGUCCAGACUCCUACGGAAGGCAGAAGUAGGGAAUCUUCCGCAAUGGGCGAAAGCCUGACGGAGCAACGCCGCGUGAGUGAUGAAGGUCUUCGGAUCGUAAACUCUGUUAUUAGGGAAGAACAAAUGUGUAAGUAACUAUGCACGUCUUGACGGUACCUAAUCAGAAAGCCACGGCUAACUACGUG
rnacentral:rRNA from 1 species